rnacentral:rRNA from 1 species
GACGAACGCUGGCGGCGUGCUUAACACAUGCGAGUCGAACGGAAAGGCCCUGCUUGCAGGGUACUCGAGUGGCGAACGGGUGAGUAACACGUGGGUGAUCUGCCCUGCACUUCGGGAUAAGCCUGGGAAACUGGGUCUAAUACCGGAUAGGAGCCAUUUUUAGUGUGAUGGUUGGAAAGUUUUUUCGGUGUAGGAUGAGCUCGCGGCCUAUCAGCUUGUUGGUGGGGUAAUGGCCUACCAAGGCGGCGACGGGUAGCCGGCCUGAGAGGGUGGACGGCCACAUUGGGACUGAGAUACGGCCCAGACUCCUACGGGAGGCAGCAGGGGGGAAUAUUGCACAAUGGGCGCAAGCCGGAUGCAGCGACGCCGCGUGGGGGAUGACGGCCUUCGGGUUGUAAACUCCUUUCGCUAGGGACGAAGCUUUUUGUGACGGUACCUAGAUAAGAAGCACCGGCUAACUACGUG